GCUUUUUUCUCCCCCCCAGGGAGAUGCGCCGUGUCUCCAUCAUCUGGCGCUGCAGGAUCGCAUCCUGCCUCUUUGACCUACUCAGCCAAGACAUUUCAGACUGGGAACUGCCCGCCCUGACGUUCCUGGUGGAGGUCCUGGACUGCCUGGACUUGAGUGAAUGCGGUGAAAAGGUCCUGCAGAUCAUGACAAGGCACCUGAAGAGACGGUCCAGAGAGAUGCGUCGCGUGGCGCUCAGAGGCCUCGUGGUGCUCAGCCAGGACCCCUCGAUGAACCAAAGAAUGUACAGCCUGACUGAAAGCCUUGGCAACCUCCUGCGGGCCGUGGAUGAAGACAUUGUUGAGAUGACCGUCGUUGUUCUCAGCUCUCUGCUCUUCAACAAAGAGAUAGCAAUAGCCAGCCCCAUCGCCCUGCAGCUGGCUGAGGCGCUCUGGCAACUCUUCGACAAUGACAACAGCCUUGUGAAGCUGCUCUCCGUUCGCCUCUUCCAAGAGGUGAUGAACUUGGUGGUGGCCAAGGGAAAAAAGCCCCUGAAGAAGCAUGUGAGGCAGAGCCUGCUCCCACUCUUCUUCAACUGCCACGAUGAGAACUGGGGUGUGGCACAGGCCUCUCGGGAAACGCUGCUUUCUGCAGUAAGGUUCCUGAAGAGAAGGGAUCUUCAGCACCUGGUGAACACAGAUCAGAUGUGGAGCUUUGCCGAGCGCUUGCUGGCAGAGGACAGGAGCCGAGCGGCCGAGCACCUGCGCCGGGCCCUGCCCUACCUGCAGAGCCCACAGGAGCCCCUGCGAGAGGCGGCCGUCAGGUUCAUGGGUGAGCCAGCAGCCCGGCUCCUUCCCCGCCCCGCCGCAGCUCGGCCCCAGCCCCGCCUGCUGCCCCGGCAGCAGCAUCCCAGCGCGGCCAUCUGGAGCCCCGCCUGGCCUCGGCGCUGCCACCGCCCUCUGGCAGCCGUGCCCUUGGGCGGCAGGAUGCGGCAGGGGCCCGGGCUGAGCCCUGCCGGGCCAGGAGGCCGUGUGGCCUCAGGGCUGGCAGCGCCCGUGGGCGGCAGCUGUGGCUCUCCAGCCAGCUCACGCUCUCUGUUCCCAAGGGAUCGUGGGGCGCUGCCUGAGAGGACAGCAGCAAGAGUUCCGGAUCCUCUGCAGGGCCCUUCAGGACAUGGCGAAUGACGCCAGCCCCGCCAUCUCAUGCCUGGCCCUUCAAACUCAUUACAUCAAUUUAGCUGUGCAGGCCAUUCCCUCCUCCCGACUCCAGAAUGUGCAAGAUCAACUCUGCCGGCUCUGGAAGUCACGGCCUUUCCCGUGUCGCCGGGGCUGGCUGUCCUGCUGCAGCGCUGUGGAGAACUGUUCCGCCAGGCUGCGUCUGCUGGGGCCACCUGAGCCUGCGGGGACCAACCCCUUCUGAAAGCACUUCCUUUCACCCCAGGAUAGCAUUAAUAAAUUGCUGUUGUCAUACCCGGAGGUCCAGGAGCUUUCUCUUGGUGCCCAGAUUCUUCAGGCCAAUGGGGAGGAGUGGAAAAAGGGCGCUUGCACUUGGCAAGUUGCCCAAGUAUGCGGUGGGCAAGGGAAAGUGGCCAGAAGCCCCUUGGCCUUUGGUGGUGCUGCUGAACGUUUUUCUUCCUGCUUCAAGUCUUCUGGAGCUGUGGGAACAAGUGUGUUCUGUGUCCGUGGAACAGCAGAAAGCGGCAGGAUGUGUCUGCUUCCAGUGCUUCUCUUGGCUCUUCCUUCACACUGCUGGCCCCGUCAUCAGGGACACAGAACGGCUUCUCUCAUGCCAGCGUUAUCCCAGUCUUCUGCAUUUCCCCAGGUUCCUCCCAGCUUCACCAGGGAAAUUCUCUGCUCGUGCCUGUCCAUUCCCUUGCCCAGAAGGCAGCACCCGCUUGUCUUUGGACAUGAGCUGCUGGCCACAGCCAGCCAGGCAGCAACCGGAGCAUUGGGCAUCAGAUGCUGGGCUGAUGUUCUUUCCCAGAAAGCAAGAAAAACAGAAGGACACAAGGGAACUUGACAGUAUCUCUGUAAGAAUGUCAUUGUCCUCUGGAAGUCAACAGUGGAUGGUGUUUUUGUGCUGCAGAUUAUCACUUCCAAGCAAAAAUCAUUCUAGGAAGGAGCAACAGCUUUUGACAGCUACCAAGUGUGGCUACCAAGUGCUGCUCCAGGUGCUCCUGCCUGCAGCCACCUGCAGAAAGGAUCCCAUAGACACCAAGGCACGUUGGCUUUGGCUGUCCUCUGGCACACAAGUCCAGCUUCGGCAAUAGGACAAUUAGGGAACAGCAUGUUAAUUUCAGGAGCACAAUUAGAGAACAUCAUGUUAAAAUUAAUGAGGACAAUUAGAGAGCACUGUGUUAAUUUCAGGAGGACGAUUAGAGAACAGCACGUUAAAUUCAGGAGGACAAUUAGAGAACACCACAUUAAAUAUAACAAAGACGAUUAGAGAUCACCAUGUUAAUUUCAGGAGGACAAUUAGAGAAUAGCAUGUUAAAAAUAACGAGGACUAUUAGAGACUACCAUGUUAAUUUAACAAAGACAAUUAGAGAACACCAUGUUAAUUUCAGGAGCACAAUUAGAGAACACAAUGUUAAUUUCAGGAGGACAAUUAAGGAACACCAUGUUAAAUAUAACAAAGACAAUUAGAGAUCACCAUGUUAAUUUCAGGAGGACAAUUAGAGAAUAGCAUGUUACAAUUAAGGAGCACAAUUAGAGAAUACCAUGUUAAUUUAAGGAGGUCAAUUAGAGAACGCCAUGUUAAUUUAACGAAGACAAUUAGAGAAUACCAUGGUAAUUUAAGGAGGACAAUUAGAGAAUAUGAUGUUAAAAAUAAUGAGGACUAUUAGAGAAUACCAUGUUAAUUUAGUGAGUACAGUUAGAGAAUACCAUGUGAAUUUCAGGAGGACAAUUAGAGAACGCCAUGUUAAGAUUAACAAGGACAGUUAGGGAACACCAUCUUAAUUUCAGGAGCACAAUUAGAGAUCACCGUGUUAAUUUCAGGAGGACAUACUAAAAUGCCAUCAGAGGCUGUGAGACAGCAGGGUGGGGACACAAGAAUAGAUAAAAAAAAAUAAAACAAAGCAAAAUAAAUAAAAUAAUAAAAUUUAAAAAAUAAAGUAAAAUAAAAUAAAAUAAAAUAUAAAAAUGAAAUAAUAAAUCCUGACCCUCAGGAUGUCUCUGAGCCAGAGAGUGAAGGGGUCAGGCGAAGGAGCUCCCAAAACAUCAGAAAUUUGAAAGAAUGUUUGAAUAGUGUGAAAAUCCCCGAUAUAUGAUUGGCGUUUGGCAAAUAUUAAAAUGAAUACUGAAUGCGAUAUGUGUUAUGUUGGAAAGAUAUGCAGUAUUAAUCUCUUAAAUUUGGCUGUAUUAACAUUUUUUAAAUUUGGCUGUAUUAAUCUCUUUUUCAUUUUAAUAGUGCUGUAUUAAUCUCUUUUAAGUUUUGCUGUAUUAAUGUCUUAAAUUUGGCGAUAUUAAUGUCUUACAUUUUUCCUUUAUUAAUCUCUUUUAAGUUAAGUUUUUCCUGUAUUAAUCUCUUUUGUUUUGCUGUAUUAAUCUCUUAAAUUUGGCUGUAUUAAUCUCUUUUAUUAACCUCUUUAACAUUUUUCUUGUAUUAAUCUCUUUUAAAUUUUUCCUGUAUUAAUCUCUUUUAAAUAGUGCUGUAUUAAUUCUUAAAUUUGGCUGUAUUAAUCUCGUUUAAGUUUUCUUGUAUUAAUUUCUUUUAAAUUUUUCCUGUAUAAAUCUCUUUUUAAGUUUUGCUGUUUUAAUCUCUUUUCAGUUUUUCCUGUAUUAAACUCUUAAAUUUGGCUUUAUUAAUAUCUUUUAAAUUUUUCCUGUAUUAAUAUAUUUUGAGUUUUGCUGCAUUAAUCUCUUUUAAAUUUUGCAGUAUUAGUCCCUUUUAAAUAGUGUCGUAUUAAAUUAAGUCUCUUAAAUUUUGCUGCAUUAAUUUUGUUUAAAUUUUUCCUGUAUUAAUCUCUUCUAAAUUUUUCCUGUAUUCAUCUUAAGUUUUCCUAUAUUAAUCUCUUUUAAAUUUUUCCUGUAUUAAUCUCUUUUAAGCUUCCCUGUAUUAAUCUCUUUUCAGUUUUCCAUAUUAAUAUCUUUUAAGUUUUUCCUCUAUUAAUCUCAUUUAAUUAUUCCUGUAUUAAUAUUUUAAAUUUUUCCUGCAUUCAUCUCUUUUAAGUUUGUCCUGUAUUAAUCUCUUUUCAGUUUUCCUGUAUUAAUAUAUUUUAAGUUUUUCCUGCAUUAAUCUCUUUUAAUUUUUUCCUGUAUUAAUCUCUUCUAAAUUUUUCCUGUAUUAAUCUCUUUUAAGUUUUGCUGCAUUAAUCUCAUUUAAAUUCUUCCUGUGUUAAUCUCUUUUAAGUUUUUCCUGUACUAAUCUCGUUUAAUUAUUCCUGUAUUAAUCUUUUCAAUUUUCCCUGCAUUCAUCUCUUUUAAAUUUUUUCUGUAUUAAUCUCAUUUCAGUUUUUCCGUAUUAAUCUCUCUUAAAUUUUUCCUGUAUUCAUCUCUUUUCAGCAGUGUGGCACACACACUUUUUAGCCUAGAGCACAAUAUUAAAAGAACAGCAACAGACACCAAAAUCAAAAAAAAAAACAAACCAUUAUUGCCUCCUUCUGUGGAAAUCUCAGAUUUUCAAAGAUUGAUUUACAAGAUGGGGGGGAAAGCUAAAAUUUAAACUCCUAAAAUUUCAACACAACGAGUUUUUCACAAAUAACGAAAUCAUGAAUAUGCACGCGCCUCAGCGAUGUCACCCCGCUGGAAUUACUCUCCUUUUUUUAUCCUAUUGCCAUUAUUAUUAUUAUUAAACUUUAAAAACUCCAAACCGUGAAUUCUGUUCCUCGCACUUUCAGACCCAAACUCCCUUACUUUGAACCCAAACUCACUUUUUCACCCCAAAAUCUUCCCCCUGCCUCCCUGGGUUGACUUUUGAAGGUCGGACUCCCGUUUUUUUUUAAAUCCAGAUUCUACUUUUUAGGUCCAAACUGCUCAAUUUUAGUGCUCAAACCCCAAACUAUGGCCCAAAUUCCCCAUUUUUGGACCCAAACUCCCCCUUUUGGGGUCCAGACUUCCCAUCUAGGCACCCAAAUUCCCCUUUUUGGGGCACAAAUUCCCGAUUUUUUUGGUCGAAAUUCUCCCUUUUUGAAACCAAAUCCCCCUUUUUCGGUCCAAAUUUCCCCCUUUUCUUGCUCAAAUCCCCUUUUUUGGGCCCAAAUUCUCUCUUUUUGGACCCGAAUGCGCCUUUUGAGCCCAAACUUUCCCUUCCUGGACACAGAUUCCUCCUUUUUGGGCCCAAAUUCCCCUUUUAAGACCCAAAUUCCAUAUUUUUUUUUUUUACCCAAACUCCCGUUUUCACCCCAAAAUCU
rnacentral:lncRNA from 1 species